rnacentral:rRNA from 1 species
UACGGGGGGGCAAGCGUUGUUCGGAAUUACUGGGCGUAAAGGGCUCGUAGGCGGCCAACUAAGUCGGACGUGAAAUCCCUCGGCUCAACUGAGGACGUGCGGAAGAAACUGCAGGGCUGGAGUCCGGGAGAGGAGGGUGGAAUUCCCAGUGUAGCGGUGAAAUGCGUAGAUAUUGGGAGGAACACCGGUGGCGAAGGCGGCCCUCUGGACCGGUACUGACGCUGAUGCGCGAAAGCGUGGGGAGCAAACGGG